UAUUAGACGUGUUAGGAAAGUCAAUACGAUUUUGACGCAUAUGUUAAAUACCAAUACCACUACAGGCUAUAGUGGGGACCAUCUCAAAAGGGACAAAUAAUCAUUCAUUAUAGUUACCUGUAUGGGUUUGUUUGAUAAUGCUGAGAUGAUUUUUAAACAAUAAAAUAAAUGUAGUAACGAUUCAUUCCGCAAUACAAGGACGAGGAUCCAGCAAAACAACA
rnacentral:lncRNA from 1 species